rnacentral:rRNA from 1 species
GCACAAGCAGUGGAGUAUGUGGUUUAAUUCGAAGCAACGCGAAGAACCUUACCUGGGCUUGACAUCCCUGGAAUCGAGUAGAGAUACUUGAGUGCCUUCGGGAAUCAGGUGACAGGUGGUGCAUGGUUGUCGUCAGCUCGUGUCGUGAGAUGUUGGGUUAAGUCCCGCAACGAGCGCAACCCCUAUUGUCAGUUGCCAUCAUUAAGUUGGGCACUCUGGCGAGACUGCCGUUGAUAAAA